UGUUGAAGGUGCUACCAGAACUGGUGAGUGGAGACCCCUGGCUGCUGUGCAGGAAAACACCUGCCUCGGGUGCAGGCACAUUUCAGAGCAUCCUGGAUCCACGUUCCUACACUCAGAAAUGGGCGGAAGCAUGCGACCCAGCCUGGUGCACAAGACAGUCCUCCUCUUUCCUGCCUUGUUCUGGCAUGAUAGGUGAAGCAGGAGACAUAACAUGAGGCCGAAAGGGUCCUGUUCUGCCCUUCUCGGCCUCAGUUUCUCCAUAUCCAUAGGAUGGGUGUGGUCAUGUCACACACACACAGGUGCUGUCAGGAUUAGAGAUGACAGGGAGACGUCAGUCACCUGGCCCUUAUUCACAUGCUGGGCAUGAUUCGUUGUGGGGUUGUGAUCUUGGCUUGGUAGGAAAGUGGGUUCUUGGCUUGGGGAUUCCCCACUGCAGGUUUGUUAAAGAAAAUGUUUACGUGCCUACAAUGAGGGCGCUUCUGUUUCUGUGUGUAUGGCCUGCUCGGUGUGAAGAAUAUACAUGUAAGCUGGCAUGUGUGUGAAUGCGCCCAUAAGACGAAUUUAAGAGAUGUGUGUUAGCCCUUGAUCAGAAAGGAGGAACAUUUUUCUUGAGCAAUCUGAAAGCCCUGCUAUGCGUGAAAUUGGGUGCUGAGCUCAUUCUGAGUUCCCUAACAAAUGAGAGAGGCAGGAAAAGUAUAUUAAAUAUGAAAUCCUUCUCUUCACACAUAUUAGGGCUGCACUUAUUUAAAACAUAGUAUCUGGGGAGAAGGAGGGUCAGUGCUCAAGUAGCAUUCCCUGCAGCCUUUGAGGACACAGGAAUGCUGGUGGAUGGGAGUCCCCAAGGGGCACAAAAGUCCUUGCAGUGCUCCUGUGAGGCACGGGUCCUCCCUCCCCCAGGGAGGGGAGACUGAAGUUCAGAUUCCAGCCUGUAAAGCUGACGAUGCCUACUCCUGUGUGCCCCACUGCCCCCCAAUCCUGCUCAAGAUGCUUGCAAGAGAAGCGGGGGAUUUAGUUCAUGCCUCAUAAUGACAGUCCUCUCAACUGGCUGCCUUAAUGGUAUCUCAGAGGAAACGCUCUUCCAGAUCCAAGCAGGAUUUACAAGGAAAUGCAACAGUGUGCAUUUGCUCAUUAUAAUCCCAGAGUCAUUUGGGUAUGGAAAGCCUUUAGUAAUUGGUGGAGAGAAUUAGCUUAAAGUUGGCAUAAUACCUAGCUAGAUGCGUGCACAUUGUUAUUUUUAAGCAGUCUGUGUUUAGAUGCCAUCAAGUUAAUUAGGAAAUAUGUAUUUGCACAGAAUGCAAGUUAAGAGUGCCACUGAACAGAAAAAAAUAAAUCUUCCUCACUAAGCUAAUAUGUGCCUUCUGAAUCUCCAAAGUUCUUAAAAUCACCAAAUGCUAAGAAAACACAAAUUCCUUUAAAAAUGAUUAUUUAGUUUUCCCAAUAACCAUUAGCAUAUAAAACCAGGUGUUUGUACCCAAGUGUUUUUCACCAUGUUUCAUGUCUCAAUUCAUUAAAUUCUUUCAGAGUGAAAACAUUCCAAGGUGAGUAAAUGGGAGAAAUAGGUAGAUAAAUACAUGGACCGGAUGGAUGGAUGGAUGGAUAGGUAAAUGGGUGUAGGGAUGGAUGUACAGAUGGAUGAAUGAAAUGGGUAGAUGGAUAGAUAAAACAGGUGGGUGGAUGAGAUGAAUGGAUGUAUGGGUGAAAUGGGUGAGUGGAUGGACGGAUGGAUGGAUGGGUGGGUGAAUGGAUAGAUGGACGGAUGGAUGGAUGAAAUGAAUGGAUGUACGGGUGAAACGGAUGGAUGGAUGGAUGAACUAGGCAGAUGGAGGAAGGAAUGACUGAUGGGCUGUGAGGUAAAUAGAUGUUAUAUUCUGUUAGAAGAUGAGUGAAUGAUAUGUACAUGUGAUGUAAGUGAUAAGAUCAUGUCAGUUGCGUGCACAUAUGUGUCAUGUAGUAUGAUCUGUAUCAAAUCUCUUGUGUUGCUUGUAUUUGAUGUUUGUUGCUUGUGUAGGAACCUGUGCUCUGGCUGGUACCACACCACCUCGGCUCAAGUCCCGGCUCCACCAAGGCUGGGCAGCCGUGGAUGAUCCUCUAACCUCAUUCCCCAUCUGUAAUCUGGGAUGAAGAACAGUUACACGCCUCACAGAAAUGGCUUGUAGGUGAAAUGAGAUGAAGAGGAUGAAGUCCGUACAGGGUGCUUGGCACCUAUCUGUGCUGCACAAAUACAGGCAUUGUCCAUGAUCGUUGCUAUUACUGAUGACCCAUAUGUGCUUUUUUAUGGUAACAUACACAUGCCACAUUGCGUAACAGGAGAGGGGUUUUCCUUGCAUUGUGGGUGAGUUCGUUAUAGCAUGUGUGUUUGCGGCUGUAGUUCAUGCUGGGUUGAAUGUGUAUUUUGUUUUCUGUUUGACAUGUGUGCCUUUCCUCGUGGCCCUUCAUGUCUUUGUUUCGUUGGAGGCUCUGUUGUAAUGCAGACGCUCUUUGUGUUUUGUUAGAUGUGCGGAUGCAGAGCAUGGCAUGGGAUGUAUAUUUGGUUUUGGCAUAUGUGUCCCAGGGGGAUGUGUGCAUAAACUGUAACAUCCUGCACAGGAAUGGUAGUCGUGUCGUAAAGCACAUCGGCUGCUAACGGUGGAUGCCACAGACUACUUCGUUUGGCCUACGUGGUAUUUUGGUGUUGUAUAAAAAAAAAAGGAAUUAGUUACUAAUAUUUAAAGAGUGGAAAGGCUUCACAUAAAAUCAGAUGACUACUUUCUCUCUGACAACCUACAAGAUCUCAUAGUAUUGCCCUUGAAUUCCCAUAAGACCAUACUCAGCAGGACCUGAGGACUGCCCCCUCCGGGUGUGGUAGGCAUUCUCAAGUGUUCCCUCACCUUGAACCCCAGGGACAUUUGCUGUUUUUAUCUCACUGGUGCUAUUUUUCUCAUGCCCAGCCUGCAUUACCCAUUUUCCUUCCCUCUCUGGCUUCCGCAGUCACCUGGGUUUGCUACCCCUGGGUUAGGAACACACAGAAUCUGGAUGCCUUUACGACAAGCCCACCAGGGGUUGGUGAGCGAGGGCAGCAUGGGCAGACCGCCCCCCACCCAGGAGUCCAGCGUCCUCAAUUCUCUGGGAGCCCCGUGCUCUUCUGGACCUGCCGCUGCAUCAAGAACAAGCCGCCCGAGGUACUGACCCUGCUGAUGGAGAACAGCAGCCCCGGCCGGUCGGAGCACACGCCCGUGAAACAGAAGCGCAGCUUCCAGUAGAAGAGGUGUUCCCAGAUGAAGAUCCCCGUGAGCCACAGUGUCUCCAGCUCCUCCAUCUCGCCUGGACAGAGGACAAGAGCCACAGGCAGUGAGGAGCACGGCAUGCACUCUGGUUCUGGACACAUGCGGGUGACCCACAGCUGGACAUGCAACCUGCAGGCAAGUUCCUGAGUGCACCAUGUCUGCGUGCACUCACUCGAUGGGCGAAGCUAGUAACGGUAACAAUACCUACCUGGUCUCGUGAGGAGGAUGAAGUGAGAUAAUGGAUAGUUACGUUCAGUCCGGGUCAUGUUUUUGUUUUUGUUUUAAUGUCAUUGCGUUCUGCCCUUCCUGCUUUUCUCUACCUGUGUCUCUGACACCCACCCAAGCCUGGAAUAGGGCCCUACCAUGGAAAGGCUCAUGUUCCGGGUACGACUUCAUCACUUCCUAGCUCCUUCAGAACUACAUCUCUCCUGUCUAUAAAAUGGAUAUAAUAAUAGUGCAUACUUCCUAGACUUCUGGGGAGGACCAAAUGAGCUGAUGGGUGCAAACUUGCUAAAGGUAGUGCCCGGCUUAUGGUAAGUGUUCAUAAAUAGUAGUGUUCACAGGAUGGAAACGCCCAGCACCAUGCCUGGCACACGGCAGUCCUCGAAUAUAUGUUGCUUCUUUCAUUUUCCUUUAGAACAUCUGGGGCUAUUCCAAGAAGUCACCCACCACCAGUGCACUUGGGGCAAAAAGCACGAAUGGAAAAGAGGCUUCUCGAUCAGCUCUGAAUGGCUCCUUGCAAACUAAACACCUCGCCACUUGAGCAGGCAGCUAGAGAAGCAGGUGGAGUUUUCAAUGGAAAAGAAAAAGUAGGCGUGCGUAGCAUUAUUUCAUCUUUUAUGUGCGUUUCAUCCAAUUGCCAUUUAGGAGGAAAUUCUCUGAUCUAAACGUCUAGCAAUUAAACUGUCUAGCAGUUCACGAAACUAUGGCACUUACGCUAUGAUUCAGACUUUAAAAAUUAUCCUUCAAGGACAGUGAAAAUCACAGAAGACGUAUAUAAUGUUAAACGGAAAGUAUGAUUUUGGGGCAUGUGUGUGUUAUCUAAGAUAUAAUAUGAAACAGGCAGAGAAAAGUAAAUACUGCAAAUGUUUCUUUGAUUCCCUUUUGAAGAGGUUAGCACAAUUAAUGCUUUCAAGUUGCUUUCUUUCUCACUCUUGAAUGAUUUGGCUGAACAGAGCAAUCUAGGUGGAUAAUGAUUUUUUUCUGGACCUUUUGAAGAUCUUACUGAGUUUUCUUCUGAUCUGGAUUAUAGUCGUUGAGAAGUCGGCGAGUAAUCUAACUGUUGCUACCUUCUAUGCACUCUGUGCUUUUUCUCUGAUUGUUUUUGAGACUUUCAUUUUGUCUUCGGUGUGGAAUUGAAAUGUGGAUUUGCUUUAGGAUUUUUUCUGCUCUGUGACCCAGUGGCGUUCUUUGGCGUGUGACUUAUAACUUUAAUUCUGGAAAAAUCUCACCCAUCCUUACUUUGAAUAUCGACUCUCCCUCUCCCCCCCCAUUUUUAAAAACUUAAUAGAAUGUAAUUUUUAGAGUAAUUUUAGGGUUACAGAAAAAUUGAGAAGUACAGUGGGUACAGCAAGUUCCCAUACACUCCUUCUCUCAUCCUCCCCCCCACGCUGCCUCAGUUUCCUCUAUUAACAUCUGGCACUGGGGUGGUAAUUUUUUUUUAACAAUUCAUGAACAGGUAUUGAUACAUUAUUACUAAUUAAAUUCCACACUUCACAUUA